ACUCUAAUGANACUGCCGGUGACAAACCGGAGGAAUGUGGGGAUGACGUCAAGUCCUCAUGGCCCUUAUAUCGUAGGGCUACACACGUCAUACAAUGGCUGGUACAUAGGGUUGCCAACCCGCGAGGGGGACCUAAUCCCAUAAAACCAGUCGUCUUCCGGAUCGCAGUCUGCAACUCGACUGCGUGAAGUCCGAAUCGCUAGUAAUCGCGGAUCAUAAUGUCGCGGUGAAUACGUCCCCGGGUCUUGUACACACCGCCCGUCACACCAUGGGAGCGUGGUUCUGCCAGAAGUAAUUAGCCUAACCGCAAGGAUGGCGAUUACCACGGCAGGGUUCGUGACUGGGGUUAANUCGUUACAAGGU
rnacentral:rRNA from 1 species